rnacentral:rRNA from 1 species
AAACGGGUGGUAAUGCCGGAUGUUCCACAUGAUCGCAUGUGAUUGUGGGAAAGAUUCUAUCGGCGUGGGAUGGGGUCGCGUCCUAUCAGCUUGUUGGUGAGGUAACGGCUCACCAAGGCUUCGACGGGUAGCCGGCCUGAGAGGGCGACCGGCCACAUUGGGACUGAGAUACGGCCCAGACUCCUACGGGAGGCAGCAGUGGGGAAUAUUGCACAAUGGGCGCAAGCCUGAUGCAGCGACGCCGCGUGAGGGAUGGAGGCCUUCGGGUUGUAAACCUCUUUUGUUUGGGAGCAAGCCUUCGGGUGAGUGUACCUUUCGAAUAAGCGCCGGCUAACUACGUGCCAGCAGCCGCGGUAAUACGUAGGGCGCAAGCGUUAUCCGGAUUUAUUGGGCGUAAAGGGCUCGUAGGCGGCUCGUCGCGUCCGGUGUGAAAGUCCAUCGCUUAACGGUGGAUCUGCGCCGGGUACGGGCGGGCUGGAGUGCGGUAGGGGAGACUGGAAUUCCCGGUGUAACGGUGGAAUGUGUAGAUAUCGGGAA